CCCUUAGAUGUUCUGGGCCGCACGCGCGCUACACUGAUGCAUUCAACGAGCCUAUCCUUGACCGACAGGUCCGGGUAAUCUUUGAAUCUGCAUCGUGACGGGGAUAGAUUAUUGCAAUUAUUAAUCUUCAACGAGGAAUGCCUAGUAGGCGCAAGUCAUCAGCUUGCGUCGAUUACGUCCCUGCCCUUUGUACACACCGCCCGUCGCUCCUACCGAUUGAAUGGUCCGGUGAAGCGUUUGGACUAUGGUUUUCUGACGGUUCGCCAUUGGAUUACCGUGGGAAAUUCGUUAAACCUUAUCAUUUAGAGGAAGGAGAAGUCGUAACA
rnacentral:rRNA from 1 species